UACGUAGGGCGCAAGCGUUGUCCGGAAUUAUUGGGCGUAAAGAGCUCGUAGGCGGUUUGUCGCGUCUGCUGUGAAAACCUAAGGCUCAACCUUGGGCUUGCAGUGGGUACGGGCAGACUAGAGUGCGGUAGGGGGUGACUGGAAUUCCUGGUGUAGCGGUGGAAUGCGCAGAUAUCAGGAGGAACACCGAUGGCGAAGGCAGGUCACUGGGCCGCAACUGACGCUGGAGGAGCGAA
rnacentral:rRNA from 1 species